rnacentral:rRNA from 1 species
AGCUCCAAUAGCGUAUAUUAAAGUUGUUGCAGUUAAAAAGCUCGUAGUUGGAUUUCUGGGGGGCGCAGAUUGUCCGCAGACGCGUGUGCAGAUGCGCCCUUUCAUCCUUCUGUUAACGUCUCUUGGCAUUCAUUUGCUGGUGGCGGGCUCAGAUAUUUUACCUUGAGAAAAUUAGAGUGUUUCAGGCAGGCUCGCGUCGGAAUACAUUAGCAUGGAAUAAUAGAAUAGGACUCAGUCCUCCUUUGUUGGUUUGAGGGGUCAGAGUAAUGGUUAAUAGGGAUAGUUGGGGGCAUUAGUAUUUGACUGUCAGAGGUGAAAUUCUCGGAUUUGUUAAAGACUAACUUAUGCGAAAGCAUUUGCCAAGGAUGUUUUCAUUA